rnacentral:tRNA from 1 species
GUCCUCGUAGUUCAAUGGAUAGAACAGCAGCGUCCUAAGCUAUAGAUGUAGGUUCGAUUCCUACCGAGGACACAA